UACGGGAGGCAGCAGUGGGGAAUAUUGCACAAUGGGCGCAAGCCUGAUGCAGCCAUGCCGCGUGUAUGAAGAAGGCCUUCGGGUUGUAAAGUACUUUCAGUCGUGAGGAAGGUGUUAAGGUUAAUAACCUUAGCAAUUGACGUUAGCGACAGAAGAAGCACCGGCUAACUCCGUGCCAGCAGCCGCGGUAAUACGGAGGGUGCGAGCGUUAAUCGGAAUUACUGGGCUAAAGGGCACGCAGGCGGUUAAUUAAGUUGGAUGUGAAAUCCCCGGGCUUAACCUGGGAAUGGCAUUCAAGACUGGUUAGCUAGAGUCUUGUAGAGGGGGUAGAAUUCCAUGUGUAGCGGUGAAAUGCGUAGAGAUGUGGAGGAAUACCGGUGGCGAAGGCGGCCCCUGGGACAAAGACUGACGCUCAUGUGCGAAAGCGUGGGGAGCGAAACAGGGAUUAGAUAC
rnacentral:rRNA from 1 species